UUAGUGGAAGCGUCUGGAAAGGCGCGCGAUACAGGGUGACAGCCCCGUACACAAAAAUGCACAUGCUGUGAGCUCGAUGAGUAGGGCGGGACACGUGGUAUCCUGUCUGAAUAUGGGGGGACCAUCCUCCAAGGCUAAAUACUCCUGACUGACCGAUAGUGAACCAGUACCGUGAGGGAAAGGCGAAAAGAACCCCGGCGAGGGGAGUGAAAAAGAACCUGAAACCGUGUACGUACAAGCAGUGGGAGCACGCUUAGGCGUGUGACUGCGUACCUUUUGUAUAAUGGGUCAGCGACUUAUAUUCUGUAGCAAGGUUAACCGAAUAGGGGAGCCGAAGGGAAACCGAGUCUUAACUGGGCGUUAAGUUGCAGGGUAUAGACCCGAAACCCGGUGAUCUAGCCAUGGGCAGGUUGAAGGUUGGGUAACACUAACUGGAGGACCGAACCGACUAAUGUUGAAAAAUUAGCGGAUGACUUGUGGCUGGGGGUGAAAGGCCAAUCAAACCGGGAGAUAGCUGGUUCUCCCCGAAAGCUAUUUAGGUAGCGCCUCGUGAAUUCAUCUCCGGGGGUAGAGCACUGUUUCGGCAAGGGGGUCAUCCCGACUUACCAACCCGAUGCAAACUGCGAAUACCGGAGAAUGUUAUCACGGGAGACACACGGCGGGUGCUAACGUCCGUCGUGAAGAGGGAAACAACCCAGACCGCCAGCUAAGGUCCCAAAGUCAUGGUUAAGUGGGAAACGAUGUGGGAAGGCCCAGACAGCCAGGAUGUUGGCUUAGAAGCAGCCAUCAUUUAAAGAAAGCGUAAUAGCUCACUGGUCGAGUCGGCCUGCGCGGAAGAUGUAACGGGGCUAAACCAUGCACCGAAGCUGCGGCAGCGACGCU
rnacentral:rRNA from 1 species